rnacentral:lncRNA from 1 species
GUGGGAUGUGCGGCGGGUUAGGCUUUGGUUUGGGCUCCGGCUUGGGUUCAGGCUUUGGUUUUGGUUCAGGCUUAGGCUCCGGUUUGGGUUCUGGUUUCGGCUUGGGCUCGGGCUUUGGUUCAGGUUUAGGCUUAGGCUCAGGCUUAGGUAGUGGUUCGGGUUUUGGUUCCGGCUUCGGCUCAGGCUUAGGCUCGGGUUUUGGUUUGGGCUCGGGCUUAGGCUCUGGUUUGGGUAGUGGUUCUGGUUUUGGUUCUGGCUUGGGCUCGGGCUUAGGCUCUGGUUUGGGCAGUGGCUCUGGCUUUGGCUCUGGUUUUGGCAAUGGUUUGGGCUUUGGUUCCGGCUUGGGCUCAGGCUUAGGCUCUGGUUUUGGUAGUGGUUCAGGUUUUGGUUCCGGCUUGGGUUCAGGCUUAGGCUCGGGCUUUGGUUCCGGCUUGGGCUCAUGCUUAGGUUGCAGUGGUUCGGGUAUGGGUUCUGUGCUUGGGUUCAGGCUUAGUGCUCGGUGCUUUGGGUAUCGUGCUUGGGCUCAGGCUUAGGCUCCGGUAUCGGCAUCGGUUCGGGCUUUGGUUCUGGCUAGGGCUCAGGCUUAGGCUCAGGUUUUGGUUUUGGCAUGGGCUCAGGUUUUGGUUCAGGCUUAGGCUCCGGCUUAGGCUCAGGCUUAGGUUUUGGUUCUGGCUUGGGCUCCGGUUUUGGCAGUGGUUCAGGCUUGGGCUCAGGCUCGGGUUUUGGUUCAGGCUUAGGCUCAGGUUUUGGCUUUGGCUCAGGCUUUUUUGGCUUUGGCUUUGGUUCAGGCAUAGGCUUGGGCAUCGGUUCGGGUUUGGGCUUUGGCUCUGGCUUCGUUAUGGGUUUAGGUUGAGGCUCAGGUUUAGGUUCAGGUUUCGGCGAAG